AUGUCACCAAGUGAUUCAAAAUGGCCUUUCAUUCUAAAAAGGAGACAAUACCCAAUAUCAGUGUGCUUUGCUAUGACUAUAAACAAAAGCCAGGGGCAAUCUCUCAAAAAAGUUGGACUCUACUUAGAAAGGCAAGUGUUCACACAUGGACAACUCUAUGUUGCAAUGUCAAGGGUGACCAGCAGAAAUGGAUUGAAGAUACUCAUAUCAGAUGAAGAGCAUCCAUCCGACAAGGUUGCAAAAAACAUUGUUUACAAGGAUAUAUUAUAG
rnacentral:rRNA from 1 species